UACGAAGGGGGCUAGCGUUGCUCGGAAUCACUGGGCGUAAAGCGCACGUAGGCGGCUUUUUAAGUCAGGGGUGAAAUCCUGGAGCUCAACUCCAGAACUGCCUUUGAUACUGAGAAGCUUGAAUCCGGGAGAGGUGAGUGGAAUUCCGAGUGUAGAGGUGAAAUUCGUAGAUAUUCGGAAGAACACCAGUGGCGAAGGCGGCUCACUGGACCGGUAUUGACGCUGAGGUGCGAAAGCGUGGGGAGCAAACAGG
rnacentral:rRNA from 1 species